UUUUUAGUGUUUUUUCGUGAGUGAGUUAGGAUGAUGAGUGUACCAUAGGGCUGGCAUCUUCACUGGCGAAGAGAGCCCCUACAAGUCAUCCGAGAGACGAAUAAUCCGAACCAACCCCAGAGUCAACCUGGAUAUGACUCUAAGGCGUCUGUGAUGGAUGGAGAUGUUAUGAGGGUCCAGCAAGCUCGGCAAAUUUCACCGGAUCGUCCACCCGACAUAAGAUUUUACGAGGAAACCACCCAACCCGGCACCAAGAACGAUAUUUGCCAUCUAUGCAAGCCCUCUCUUCUCAGCUUUUUUUUUCAAGUCGAUGGCGGAGUACAGCCGGAGAUUCGCUUCCGGUGUGGGAGGGCACUUUGCCAGUCUCGCCUGGUCUCUUCAACUCACCCUCACCCUCCUUGAGGAUCGUACUUUUGGAGGCGGUUGAGAACAAACCGGGAGAUGGAAUUUUGCGUUUCCUCUGUCGCCUCCUUCCAGAGCCCCUCUCGUCUGUCUGGCGGAGAAGGGGGGCCCGUGACCUCCUGAGUUUCGGGGAAAAUAACCAUCAACAUUGUGACCCUUGAUAGCUCAACCUGAAGCUAUCUAUUCCCUCCUCAAACUAGAGCAGGUGUUGGAUGUACUUUGCGCAUUUUCUCGUUUCCGGGGACGUUUUCCCAAUCGAGGAUAAAUGCCUUCUUUUUAGGAAUUUUCAUUUUAUUUCCGAGUAAUUGAAAACAUCCCUUUCAGUCAUGAAGUUUGUCAACGCUUGAAGACUAAACCCUUCAAGUAAGGUUUUGUCAUAUUUGUGAAUUAAUAAAGUUCAUAAAGGAUAUUUUUCCAUCUUUUCAUACACAAAAUAUUUCAAAGUUAAGUCUUCAAAUUGCAAAAAAUCCCCGAUUUUCCUACUAUCAACCAUCAAAGACAAUUCUUCUUUCAAUAAAUAAAAUUGAAGAGCGACAACAAUGUAUCCUUCACGCCAGAUCCCAUGAUCUUCAAGUGCAUAAACAAUUGCAUUGACAUGUACAAAUAAAUUACUGUAUUUACCUAUCCAACGAAACAGCAACGAGACUGUAGACAGAAGCAGCAACCGAGACUCCCUGAACAUAAGAAACGGUUUUGCACAUGAAGCGUCCAAGCACCCAAGCUGAAACACAUUAAAAAAUGGAAAUUUUAAUUGAACCAAAUCCAGGAGAUUAAUCAUCAAGAUCAGCGCAUUCAAUUCAAUAAUUGUUUUCGCAUAUGGCGCGGAGCAAGGGCACACCCAGUGGUCGAAAUAUAGGCCAUGACUAUAGGAUAAUUAAUCGUGAAACGAGAGGGAGACAUUGGAAACCUUUAAUGCGUGGAAAACAGUGGGAAAUGUCAUCGGUUGCAUUCAUCGUUGUGCAUAAAUUGAUUCACCCAUGAUACACGAUUGGCUGUGGAACGGUUUCGUAUGCUAACAACUAUCAUCCAACACACACUGGCAUUAAAAACCAUUAUAAAGGAUUUCAGUACGUAGGAAAGUGAAGGGCAGGAGCAGCGUUGAAAGGCAAUACGAAUCACCGAUCGAGCGUUAAAUGGUAAUUAUCUACUGUUGCACCGAUUGCUGUUUGUGUUUAUUAUUAUUUGUUUUUUAUAGAUUAUUUAGUACAGUUUAUCGAUUGGCGGAGACAGGGGGGGAUCAUGAUGAUUAAGAAAAUCUAUUGACAUUGAGGGUUUUGCAGUGAUGGGUGGUAUUGUAUUUGCACGUCCCUGAGAUGAUUCAGGGCAAUUAUUAUGUCAGAUUGAGAAUAAUUUAUAUCUGAGACAUACAUUAAAGGUUUAUAGAAUAUCAAGAUUGGAGAAUGAAUGGUAAUGGGGAAAACGGGAAUUCUGAUAUUCCAGUUUUUAUUAUUGCACAAUAAUGGUUGCGGUGAACGGAUUUUUGAUGGAAAUGUUGAAGUAGAUUUUUUUAUUGAGUUUUUCCGGAAUAUAAUGUGGUUAAUUUCAUUUAUAUUAGUUGGGGAUAUUGAGACUUUGGUGGAAGUUCAUUGAUUGAGGCAAAUGAUAGAAUAAAGAUUGUUAUUAUCAUAUCAUUGUUAAUCGUUAUGUUAAUCAUCGGUUUAUAGAACAUGAGAAUUUAUGGAGGAAUUCUGUUAUCAGUUUAUGGCAGAGAAUGGAAUAGAUCGAGAACUAAGUUUCUUAGUUAGGGAAUCGAUUUGCAGAAACUGGAAUUAUAAUCGAUGCAAUGAUUAACUGUGAUUCAUGCCCAUUCGAUAAAAUUAUGCGUGAACUGAUAAAAUAUUUCCAACAGAAAAUUGAUGAAAGACAAAUCAAUUUUAUGCAUCUGAAAUGCAAUUAACAAACUAUAUUUUACCGAAAAUGAGUUGAAAUAUAACUAAUACUACUCGUUUGUUAAAUUUAUCACAUUUCCACGGAAAUGGCCGGCUAUUCAAAAUCAAUCAAUUAAAUUAUGUACGUAUCUAAAUGAUAAAACGAAAGGUAAGCGACAAAAUGUUAAUAAUUAUUCGUAAAUUAUUGCAUUUUCGUAAUCUCCCAUUAUAUCACUAACAGAUCGUUCCACGAAAAGAAAAAAUCGCAAACCUGGGUUUCGAUUAAUAAAAUUGCCUUCGGACAAUAUUUUUUCACAUGUCCUCUUAAACCCGCUCGCUACCCAGAUAAUGACAUUUCACGUAGAAUUUUUUUUUUUCGAACAUUCGAUUGCAAAAAUAAACCAACACGUUUACGUUGAUAGGUGAUUUUCCACAGUGUACGGGGUGAGAGGAAGAGAGGAAAUUUCGUGUAGGCGAAUGAAAAUAUGCGAGCCCUUACGUCCCGCACACUCGGCCCAUAAAUUUAUCUGAACUCGACUAUUGCCUCCCACUCUAGCCGAUAAAAACUGAAACCUUCCUCUCCACUAGCGUGCAACAGCACAUUUUUUUUCACUCAAUCCAAGUUUCUUCGUUUGUUCUCCAUCCAAAUUGCAUUGCCCACUCUCACUUUUGGGGGGGAAAACAAGCGGGUACGUUGCAUGCACAAUAUUGAGAUGAAUUUUUAUCGCUGGAGCCAGUCUAGAAUUGCAUGCCAACCGGAUUUAACCAAGCGUGAUUUUCCGUUGUGUAUAUAAUCUAGGGUUUGGAGGUGGAAAAUUGACAUAACAGUUUUGUUAAUUGCAGGACAUGUGUUGUUCCAUUAAAAUUCGAGUGAUUUUGUAAUGUUUUCGGACGGAGAUUGGCAUUGAUCAGCAUUUUUCGUGAUAUUUCAAACCUAUUAAUUAACAAAGGUAGUACAGUAGUGUUCAUUAUAAAUUAUUUAUCGCUGCAAUUAUGAAUCUAUAAUCAGUAUUUUUUCAUAAUCUCACUUGACAAAAUUAAAACCAAAUGUCAUGAAAUAAAUUAUUCUAUGAUUUACUGUU